rnacentral:misc_RNA from 1 species
UACGUAAGCCUCAAGCGUUAUCCGGAAUCACUGGGUGUAAAGGGUGCGUAGGCGGUUUAAUUAGUCUUCUGUGAAAGACCCGGACUCAAUCUGGGGAACGCAGAAGAAACGGUUAAACUAGAGGGUGCGAGGGGUGUACGGAACUCUCGGUGUAGGGGUGAAAUCCGUUGAUAUCGAGGGGAACACCAAAAGCGAAGGCAGUACACUGGCGCACACCUGACGCUGAGGCACGAAAGCCAGGGUAGCGAAUGGG